rnacentral:rRNA from 1 species
AGAGUUUGAUCAUGGCUCAGGAUAAACGCUGGCGGCGUGCCUAACACAUGCAAGUCGAACGCCCUUAGUAAUAAGGGAGUGGCGGACGGGUGAGGAACACGUGGGUAUCUACCCAAAGGUGAGGAAUACCGGCGAGAAAUCGCCGACAAUACCGCAUAGGUUUCUUCGGAAACAAAGCUCGCAAGAGCGCCAUUGGAUGAGCCUGCGGCCGAUUAGUUUGUUGGUGGGGUAAUGGCCUACCAAGGCGACGAUCGGUAGCUGGUCUGAGAGGACGAUCAGCCACACUGGGAUUGAGAACGGCCCAGACUCCUACGGGGGGCAGCAGUGAGGAAUUUUCGUCAAUGGGGGAAACCCUGAACGAGCAACGCCGCGUGCAGGAAGAAGGUUUUCGGAUCGUAAACUGCUUUUCUCUGGGACGAGAACGGACGGUACCAGAGGAAUCAGCCCCGGCUAACUACGUGCCAGCAGCCGCGGUAAUACGUAGGGGGCAAGCGUUGUCCGGAUUUACUGGGCGUAAAGCGCACGCAGGCGGUCUCAUGCGUCUUGAGUGACAGGUCCCGGCUCAACUGGGGCAGUAUUCGUGAAACGGUGAGACUUGUAGGCUUCAGAGGGACGCGAAUUUCCGGUGGAGCGGUGAAAUGCGUAAAGAUCUGGAAGAACACCGAUGGCGAAAGCCACGUUUCUGGAAAGCUUCUGACGCUCAA